rnacentral:rRNA from 1 species
UACGGAGGAUCCAAGCGUUAUCCGGAAUCAUUGAGUUUAAAGGGUCCGUAGGCGGUCUAGUAAGUCAGUGGUGAAAGCCCAUCGCUCAACGGUGGAACGGCCAUUGAUACUGCUGGACUUGAAUUACUGGGAAGUAACUAGAAUAUGUAGUGUAGCGGUGAAAUGCUUAGAGAUUACAUGGAAUACCAAUUGUGAAGGCAGGUUACUACCAGUGGAUUGACGCUGAUGGACGAAAGCGUGGGUAGCGAACAGG